UACGGAGGGUGCAAGCAUUAAUCGGAUUUAUUGGGCGUAAAGGGCGCGUAGGCGGGGAUAAAAGUCAGAUGUGAAAGCCUGAGGCUCAACCUCAGAACGGCAUUUGAAACUCUAUCUCUAGAGGGUAGGCGGAGAAAAUGGAAUUCCACAAGUAGCGGUGAAAUGCGUAGAUAUGUGGAAGAACAUCUGUGGCGAAGGCGGUUUUCUAGCUUAUUCCUGACGCUGAGGCGCGAAAGCAAGGGGAUCAAACAGG
rnacentral:rRNA from 1 species